rnacentral:ncRNA from 34 species
GUAUACUUAAAAAGUCAAAAAGCUUUAAAGACGCAAGAUGAAGAGGGCGUAAUUCCCUCGCUGUACCGCAACGGUGUGUGAGCAAGUUGUAAGGUUGUUCAUAAGUCCGAUCUCUUGCCUCCUCGAACAGUC